rnacentral:rRNA from 1 species
UACGUAGGGGGCAAGCGUUGUCCGGAUUUAUUGGGCGUAAAGAGCGUGUAGGCGGCUAGGUAGGUCCGUUGUGAAAACUCGAGGCUCAACCUCGAGACGUCGAUGGAAACCAUCUAGCUAGAGUCCGGAAGAGGAGAGUGGAAUUCCUGGUGUAGCGGUGAAAUGCGCAGAUAUCAGGAAGAACACCCGUGGCGAAGGCGGCUCUCUGGGACGGUACUGACGCUGAGGAGCGAAAGCGUGGGGAGCGAACAGG